GGUCAGUUAGCUCAGUGGUUUGAGUGCAGUGCUGACAACAAUGACCGACACCGAGGUCGCGGGUUCGAUUCCCGUUCGGUCCC
rfam:Apaloderma vittatum contig24261, whole genome shotgun sequence.